AACGAACGCUGGCGGCAUGCCUAACACAUGCAAGUCGAACGAGACCUUCGGGUCUAGUGGCGCACGGGUGCGUAACGCGUGGGAACCUGCCCUUAGGUUCGGAAUAACUCCCCGAAAGGGGUGCUAAUACCGGAUAAUGUCUUCGGACCAAAGAUUUAUCGCCUUUGGAUGGGCCCGCGUUGGAUUAGCUAGUUGGUAGGGUAAAAGCCUACCAAGGCGACGAUCCAUAGCUGGUCUGAGAGGAUGAUCAGCCACACUGGGACUGGGACACGGCCCAGACUCCUACGGGAGGCAGCAGUGGGGAAUAUAGGACAAUGGGCGAAAGCCUGAUCCAGCAAUGCCGCGUGAGUGAUGAAGGCCUUAGGGUUGUAAAGCUCUUUUACCCGGGAUGAUAAUGACAGUACCGAGAGAAUAAGCUCCGGCUAACUCCGUG
rnacentral:rRNA from 1 species